rnacentral:lncRNA from 1 species
AAACAUGUGGUUUGUGAAGAGAAAGAAUGAAAGUGUGGGGGAUGAGGAACCUUUGAUUUCUGAGUGGCCGCAUGAUCACCUAUAUAAUCGAGUAGCAGCUAUGCUGUGUUCAGUUACUAAAGGUGAGGCCAUAGUGAGAAGGCAGCCAUUGGCAGUCCAGGAAGAGUGCUCUCACCAGAAACCAAAUUGGCUAGCACCUUGAUCUUGGACUUCGCAGCCUCCAGAACUGUGAGAAAUAACUUUCUGUUUGUUUAAGCCAUUCAGUCUAUGGUAUUUUGUUUUGGCAGCUCGAUCUAACUGAGACAGUUGGUUAAAUCUAAUCAGAGACUUGGUAGGAUUUGUAAGUGCAAUGCAAACGAGCACCAGUAGGCAGCAGAGCCAGUUAGCAAGCCCAAGAGAGAAGAAAUAUCCCUGGUAGUGGUGGUGGUCCCAUCCAGGCACACUGCUUGCUGUACCAGUUGUUGUGGUUAUCUCUUCAACCAAUAUGAACCUUUACCCAAAUUUAUUUGUUUAUUUGUUUGUUUGUUUAGGCUGUAGCAUGCAGCAACCUGAUGUGAGAUCUCAGUUUCCAGACCAGGAAUUAAACACAGGCCACAGUGGUGAAACACUGAGUCCUAACCACUAGACCACCUAGGAACUCCUAAAUUUAAUUCUCAUGUUGAGAGUGAUGUUGCAGACAUGACCCAAGAAAAUGUGAAUAAGUUUAUUACUCAUAUAAUGAGGCUUUCUGAGGAGGGUAGGGCAGGCUCCCAAAGUGACCUAAAAAAUGUUCUGAAAGAGCAGAGAAAAAAGACUGGCUAGAUUUUUAUUAUAAGUAAGAGGUGGGACCGCAUAAUUUGAACUUCUUGCCAAUGCCAAAGAAGAGAGCACCAAGGCUUUCUUAUCACCUUAUACAGAUGUGGCCCUUGAAAGCUGUCAGCAGCAUCAAAAAUGGACAAAGCUCUUUAUUACAGAUGUUUUAACCGUCUAAUUCAUACUUCUUUACCUUUUUUGUCUCCAGGUUUGAAUUUGUUUUUAUUUCUCUUGCUUGGGAUCCAUAGAUUCCCAGAUGUGUAUAUCUGAUAUUUCAUCAGUUCAGGAACAUCUCAGAUAUUAUCUCUUCCACUAUUGCUGCUGCCUCAUUCUCUCCUCUUAUUCUGAAACUCAGAAUCAUCGUGUAUUAGCCUCUACCUGUCUUCUACCCUCUCUUCCACAUUUUUAAUCAUGCUAUCCAGGCAUUGUCCAUACUAUUUCAUGACCACUAUUCAAAUUCAGUUAUAUCCAUUUUCUUGUAUUAAUUGAUUAUUUAAAAAAUAUCAUUUCCAUUUGCAGAAAUUUUAAUUAUUACUUUUAAUCUAAUUAGUCACAUUUUAAAAUUUUAUUGUCCAUCUUUGCAUUUCAAUUCCUUUCAUCUAUUCAGUUUGAUAAUAACAGAACGAGAAUUUUUUUCUGUGUAUUUUGCUUUGUGACUUUGCCAUCUGUCUCUCACUCAUAGUAAUUUGUUUUCCUUUCAUGUCUGACUGUGAAGUUAUAUUUUUUAGAAGUUUAUCUGUGAAAAUUCUUUGAGUUCUAGGAGGAAAAUGGGUUCCUCUAGAGUGUCCUAAAAUUUGCUUAUUUCAGGAAUGUGUGUCAUCAGUCUAGGGUUACUGUAUUAAAUUCUUCACCUAAAGUUUUGUGGACCACCCAUGUAGCCUGCAUUUUCAUUUCAAAUCUGCUUUGAGGGAAUAUUUUGGGACUAGGAAUUCUGUAGGAAGAUUUUUUUCCCCUCUCUCUUUAGUGUCAAAUUCGAGACAAGCAACUUUCCUUGUAGUACUUUUGAGGAGGGGAUGAUUUAUUUUGAAUUCACUCCUGUAAUGAAAUUGCAGGACCACAGGCUUUGUUUGCUGUUCUCAAGGCCCCUUGGGGCCUUAAAGAUCAAAGUUUAAGUUCACCUCCUUCAUCAAAUGACCUCAAGAUAAAAGGCAAAUAAUGUGCCCAGAAACUUGUCUUGGUUCUGUCCACAAAAAACAAACAUACAAACAAAUAAAUAAAUAACACAAUGUGAAAGUUGUGAGUUAACGUAUUUGGGGCAAAAUGAGGACUCAGCUAUAGCUAUCUCAGAUAGCUCUGUGGUACCGCCUCCAAAGAAGUAAGGGGAAAGAUCAGUACUAUAUAUGAUUUUAGCGAAGGGGGUUUAUGUGUGAUCAAGUGCAUGUUUUGACAGAGGCUUGCUGCUAUGCAUGAGGAGCAGAUGUCACCAUUAAUGAUUUUAGUGCUUUGCUAGAUAUGAGAACAUGCAAGAAUUUGGGCGCAUAAAAUCUUCUCCUGAAUAUAUCUAACUACCUGAAGCCUGUUCUGCCAAUUUUUCCCAGAACACAGAGUGCCUCAUUCCUGAUCUCCACCCUGAACUUCUUUCAAGGUGUGAUGAAGGUCACCCGCUGCAAUGACUAGUGACUUAAUCCUUGUGGAGGCAGAUGGCAAGUGUCAAUUUUUAGUCGACAGUUCAUUCCUUCACUUAAUGUUCUUUAAAGUUUAUCAAUGCAUUUAAGCAAAUGUAUGAUGUUUGGCUGUUUUCAGUAGAACCAUCAGUUACUAUGCUUAGGUUAACUUUCAAUUUUAUAUGCAUUAUUAUUAUUAUUUAUAAUUCUUAUAAACAUCAACAAGAGGACUUUUUGAGUGAAUGAGGUUUUUAAAACCCUGGUUAUGUUAAUUUGGGCCUUCCUUAAGUGUCUAUGAAAAUGAUUUUUACAGAAUGCACAUAUGUGGUAAUUGGUUUUAUUAUUUUAAAAAUCCGCUUUAACAGUUGAUUUUAGAAUACUCUCUUUGGAUUUUUAUUACAAAGUAAUAAUUAUUAAAAAAAAAUACUCUUCACCUGCAGUAUACCUUAUUUAUGGAAUUAUUUCUGUUUAGGAUAUAAAUGGAUAACCAGCUUUUUUGCCUCUUAUGCAGUAAAAUAGCAAUUUAAUGUCUCAGACUCUGUAUACAUGUAAAAAGAUAACUCAUGUAUAUAGGCUGUUAUAUUAAGAAAAAGCAAUGAAUGUGCCCCCUCCGUCUCACAUCUAUGUCUUUUGUAAUGCCCUCACACAGUGAGUCUGGGUUUGGUCAUAUCGAAGUUUUGAUCAGUGAGGCAUUUGCCAAAGUGAUGCAGAGACUUGACACAUUAGUGUACUUCCGCACUGAGGCUCACCCUCCCAGAAUUCUCCCACUUGGAACUCAGGAGCCAUUUUAUAAGUCAGUACUGCCUCUACUGCUGGAGGCAGGUCUUAUGAAGAGGCCCUGGAGAAGGCAGCAUCACAGGAAGAGCUGGCAGCUGGAAGAAUAGCUGAGUUGACUGGAGCAGUCAACUCCAAGGACCAUGGACAGAUAGAAGAGAGACCAUCUUGGAUCUUCCAGCCCAGCCUGUCUAGAUGAACACAACCUCAGAGUGAACCCAUUGGAUCAGAAAAAGAGCCCUGUCAACUUCAGAAACAUGAAAAUAGUAUAUCCCUGUUGUUUUAAGCUGCUAAGUUUUAGAAUGGUGUAUUAUUCCAGCAGCUUUAUAUAAGAAACAUCACAUAAGAUAUUUAAUUCAGACCUGGGUACUGAGGAAUUUUGCUUUCUCAUGUAAAUGUAUUACACUAAAAGCCAAAAUAAGUAUACAUUUCUUUCAUUCUACAAUAUACUCUUAAUUUCCAAAGUACUUUGAAAUCUUUACUAAAGUAUAAACUUGAGACCUUUUUCAUACCAUCCCUCUCUUACCAAAAUCUUAUUUGUAAUGAAAUCAUUUAACAAAACGCAAAUAAUUCCAUUAUUAUUUAAAUCUAUUUUAAGUGAAAUGCUAUGUAAAUCUUUGCUUUAACUGCUAAGAGCUGUCAUUACAGGAUUUAUAGUCUAUAUUGAUUAAUAAUACCAGGCUGUGUUUCACACUCCUUAAUGAAAUUUUGACCUUAUUUGCUCUUAAAAAUAUCUCCUCUCUCAAAAGCUGUUAUUCUGCUGAAUGUUUUUUCAAAUGCUUGAGGAGUCAUACUGUGUAAUAUUGGCUAUACUUCACAGUGUGCAACAUUAUAUUCCAUGUGUGUUUUACUAUUAAGUGAUUUUAUUUUGUAGUCUUGCUAGUACCAUCAUAUAAUUAAAUUGUAAGCUCAUGUGGUGUAAAGGUCAGAUACAUUAAAUGUACAAAAGCACAUGCAAUGUGUGUUUAGGCUUCUACUUUUUGCACACUGACAUCAGCUUAGUAAGGAAUGAAAAAAAUCACAUAUGUUACAAUUGAAAAUUCUGGUCUUUGGAAUAAGAUUUUCUAGCAUCCUGUUGUUAAAAAAAAAAAAGAAAACUUAAUAGAAAUUCUUUUAAAAUAUUCUGUAUUUUCUUGGAAUACUUGUCGAGAACACACAUUCUUGUUGGAUAUUUUCAACCUAGUUAUGAACAAGACUGAUCAGUCUAGUUUUUGGCUGCUUUAUUUUUUCUUAGCAAUUUCUCCUGUAAAUACAUCUUGAUUUUUUGCUUUAUGGUUGCUUUCACAGUAAAAAUAUACUAUAACUUUCUUUCUGAUGGUCAUAAAUUUGGAAGAUUGUAUCUGACCUAUUCUUUGUAUUUUAGGGUUUUUUUAAGUGGACCCAAUAAUUUCAAACCAUUUCUCUUUUUUUUUCUUUUUAUGGAUGCACUUGAAGCAUAUGGAAGUUCCCACACUAGGGGUCAAAUCAGAGCUGUAGCUGCAGUCUGUGCCACAGCCAAAGCAACACCAAAUCUGAGCCACAUCUGCGACCUGUGCUCCAGCUUUCAGCAAUGCCAGCUCCUUAAUCCUCUGAGCCACAAUAGGAACUCCCAGAGUAUUUCUAAAAGUGUUUCUUUAACCUUCAAGGAAACAUUUUUGUACAUAUAAAUAUACUUAUUCUGUUUUACCCUUGGCCGUGGAGAUUCAAGAGAAAUCUGGGCUUAUUCAGUCUUGGGCAGUACUAUUAUUUGAUAGACUACCAGGAUAUUGAUAUAUAUAGCAUAAUAUUGAUAUUUUUAAUUAAUAUAUUUAAUAUUAUAUUGUCAUUAAUAAUUAUAUUGAUAUGAAUACUUCUUAGUAAAAGUAUUCUAGUUAUUCUUUGAGAACAUUCUGAAUUACAUGUAAAUGGAGCAGGUGCUAUAUAACAUAAUUAAAUCAUUUAUACUACAUUACCUUUCAACAAUAUAGAAGAGCAUUUAAAGGUAACAUAUCCAUUUAUUUAGAAUAUGAAAGUUACCUUAGAGUAGAUAUGAAUCUUACAGCUUUAUUUCUUUACCUGAUAAUUGAUAUCUUCUACCAAAGAUCUUCCUAACUAAUGAGUCCAUGAAGAGGUUUCCUGAUGUUAAAUUAUAUAUAUAUGUGUAUUCAUUUGUGAAGAAUGUCCAAGGCUUUCAUCAGAUCCUCAAAGAUUCAUAAUUGUAAAAAUGUUACAAUUCAUAAUUAUAAAAACAUUACAAUGUAAAAACCUUGAUUAUCCAUUUCAGGCUUUCCAAUCUAGAUGUGGGUACUUUUUCUGAUAAAGAAUGUGUGAUUUCUUUAAAGUCUCAGGGUAAGCUUAAAUGUAUUGCCAUAUUGUUUUCUUUCACCACUUUUGUUCUCGCCCUUAGCAUCAAUGAGAAAAAAUCAAAUUAUAGCACUCCAGUCCUUCAAGUAAUUGAAAAUAACUACUUUGAUUUUUCUCAUCAAAGAGAAAUUUGCAAUUUUGUAAUUUGUAAAUGGUAAAGACAGUUGCAUAAAGUUGUUCAUAAUGUAUCUUUAUGUAUUUCAUGUUAAACAACAAAGCUCUAGUAAGCAAAGCAGUAUGAUAUUGGCACACAGACACAUAGAUCAGUGGAACAAAAUAGCUCAGAAAUGAACCCAUUCUUAUAUGGUCAAGUAAUCUAUGAAGAAAGAAGUGAGAAAAUACAAUGGGCAAAAGACAGCAUCAUCAAAAAAUGGUGUGGGGAAAACUGGACAUGCAGAAGAACUAAAUCAAUCUAGUUCCCCACAUCACAUGGAAAAAAUAAAUUCAAAAUGGAUUAAAGACAUAAGACCUGAAACCCUAAGAAUCCUAGAAGAAAACAGACUGUACACUCUUUGGUAUUGGUCUUAGCAAUAUUUAUCAGUACAUGUCUCUUCAGGCAAGGGAAGGCGAAAAUAAACAAAGUACCUCAAAGGAAACUGUCAAAAAUGAAAAGGCUGCUUAAUGAAAGGGAGAAGAUAUUUGCAAGCAAUAUAUCUGAUAAGGGGUUAAUAUUAAAAACAUACAAAGAUAUCAGACAAUUCAACAUCAAGAAAACAAUUAAUUAAAAAUGGCAGAGGACUCUAAUAGGCAUUUUUCCAAAGAAGACAUAUAGAUGGCAAACAGAUAAAUGGAAAGAUGCUCAAUAUUACUAGUCAUCAGGGAAAUGCAAAUCAAAAACCACAAUGACAUACCAUUUCACAUCUGUCAGAGUGAUUAUUAUCAAAAAAGCAAAUAACAAAUGUUGGCAAGUGUGGAGAAAAGUGAAUCCUUGUGCAGUGUUGGUGAGAAUGUAAAUUGACACUGCCACUGUGGAAAACAGUACGGAGGUUCCUCAAAAAAUUAAAAAUAGAACUAGCAUUUGAUCUAAUUCUUCUGGGUAUUUUUUCAAAGGAAAACAAAAAAAAAUACUAAUUUGAAAGGAUAUUUUCACCCUAUGUUCAUUACAGCAUUAUUUCCAAUAACCAAGAUACGGAAGCAAUCUAAAUGUCCAGUGACUGAUGAAUGGAUGAAGAAACAUAUAUAUACACACACAAACAUAUACCUACAUGGAAUAUUACUCAGCCAUAAAAAGACUAAAAUUUUACAAUUUACAACAACAUAGAUAGGCCUGCAGGAUUUUAUGCUAAAUUAAAUAAUCAGACAGAAAAAGACAAGUACUGCAUAUUUUCACUUAUAUGUGGAAUCUGAAAAAUAAAACCAAUGAACAAACACAACCAAAGAGAAACAGUUUCAUAGAUAAAAAGAAUAAACAGGUGGCUACCAGAGGAAAGAGGAAUGAGAGGAUGACUAAAUAGGUGAUGGAGAUUAAGAGGUACAAACUCCCAGCUAAAAAAUAAAUAGGUCACAGGAUGAAAUGUGCAGCAUGGAGACUAUAGUCAAUAAUACUGUAAUAUCUUUGUAUGGUAACAGAUGGUAACUAGACUUAUAAUGGUGAUCAUUUUGUCAUGUAAAGAAAUUUCAAAUCCAUGUUGUGGACCUGGAACCUGAAGAGUACUGUGGGUCAAUUUUACUUCAAUUUUUAAUCACUUCUUUAGGUUUCUUAUGUCUGUAAGAUUUGUAGUGAUAUUAUUUUCUUUUAGUUCCUAAUGUUGAUUACUUUGAACUUUAAUUUCUAUUAAGUAUUCUCAUCAAGGUUUUAUCAAUUUUAUUAGACUUUUCAAUAAAUUAAUAUUUGGCUAUAUCGAUCUUUUCUAUUGCAUAUUAAUAUUCUGUUCUAUUAAUUUCUGUUAUCACUAAUACAGUUUUCUAUUAUCUUUGUGUUUAAUUUGCUCUUUUUAAAAAAUCUUUUUGAGCAAGAGAUAUAGAUCACUGAUUUGCAGCCCUUUUUAAAAAUGUACUUUAAGGUGACGAAUUUCCCUUUAAGAGUAGUUUAAGCUGCAUAUAUUACAAGCUUUGAUAUGCCGUAUUUUUAUUAUUUUCAGUUAUACUGUAGGCUUUGAUAUAGAUAAAGUUCAAAAACAAGUGUGGGUAAUCUGCAAAAUGAUGAGGGUGAUUAUUUACCUUUUCAAAGGAUGGCUGGGUGGUGAUGGAGAAUGAUCUAGGGUUCUGAUAUGUUGUUUCUUGACCUGACUUAUGAUUCUUUGAGCAUACAUACUUUGUAACAGUUUCUUGAGCUGUGUGCUUAUGAUUUGCAAAUUAAAAAAAAAAAAAAA